rnacentral:tRNA from 3 species
GGGCCCGCAGUUCAGCCCGGCAGAACGCCGGCCUUACGAGCCGGUGGUCCCGGGUUCAAAUCCCGGCGGGCCCACCA